ACGGGAGGCAGCAGUGGGGAAUAUUGCACAAUGGGCGAAAGCCUGAUGCAGCAACGCCGCGUGAGGGAAGACGGUUUUCGGAUUGUAAACCUCUGUCUUUGGUGAAGAAGAAGUGACAUUAGCCGAGGAGGAGGCCACGGCUAACUACGUGCCAGCAGCCGCGGUAAUACGUAGGUGGCAAGCGUUAUCCGGAAUUACUGGGUGUAAAGGGAGCGCAGGCGGGAAGUCAAGUCAGCGGUGAAAUGUAUGGGCUCAACCCAUGAACUGCCGUUGAAACUGUUGUUCUUGAGUGGAGUAGAGGCAGGCGGAAUUCCGGGUGUAGCGGUGAAAUGCGUAGGUAUUCGGAGGAACACCAGUGGCGAAGGCGGCCUGCUGGGCUCUAACUGACGCUGAGGCUCGAAAGUGUGGGGAGCAAACAGGAUUAGAUACCCUGGUA
rnacentral:rRNA from 1 species